rnacentral:sRNA from 1 species
AUGCCGGGAGCGAUCUUUGGAAAGGAGUCCCCGGCUCGAGCGACACUGCCCCCCUGGGGCUCUGCAGGAGAUGGCUGGCCGAGCUCUCAAGCAGACUGGCAGCAGGAGCAUCGAGGCCGCCCUGGAGUACAUCAGCAAGAUGGGCUACCUGGACCCGAGGAAUGAGCAGAUCGUGCGGGUCAUUAAGCAGACCUCCCCAGGAAAGGGGCUCAUGCCAACCCCAGUGACGCGGAGGCCCAGCUUCGAAGGAACCGGCGAUUCGUUUGCGUCCUACCACCAGCUGAGCGGUACCCCCUACGAGGGCCCAAGCUUCGGCGCCGACGGCCCCACGGCGCUGGAGGAGAUGCCGCGGCCGUACGUGGACUACCUCUUCCCCGGAGUCGGCCCCCAUGGGCCUGGCCACCAGCACCAGCACCCACCCAAGGGCUACGGUGCCAGCGUAGAGGCAGCAGGGGCACACUUCCCGCUGCAGGGCUCGCACUACGGGCGGCCGCA